UACGUAGGUGGCGAGCGUUGUCCGGAUUUACUGGGCGUAAAGAGCGCGCAGGCGGUCGUUCAAGUCGCGUGUGAAAGCCCCCCGGCUCAACUGGGGAGGGUCACGCGAUACUGAUCGACUCGAAGGCAGGAGAGGGGAAGUGGAAUUCCCGGUGUAGUGGUGAAAUGCGUAGAUAUCGGGAGGAACACCAGUGGCGAAGGCGACUUCCUGGCCUGUUCUUGACGCUGAGGUGCGAAAGCGUGGGGGAGCAAACAGGG
rnacentral:rRNA from 1 species